AGGCUGUAAGGCCAACAUGUUUGCAGACUAUGGUAAUGUAUCCCGUAUGAUUAGUGAGAUUUCAGAUGGUUGCAAGUGACAAAGGGGGAAAAUGUUACUAAAGAAAAACCCUCAUACCAUAAAAUGCCAUUGGAAGAUCCCAGAAUCAAGUCAGAUGUGAGAUCAUCUUCCAGAGCAAAAUCAUAGCCCUUCAUAACAACCCCCUGUCUCUGUCAUCUCUACAUCUGUUUCUGUCUGUCUCUGUCUCUCUAUCUGUCUGCAUGUCUCUCUUUCCUGUCCUAGCAAAACAAAACACCAAACAAAAAUUAAUAAGACAAAAUAUCCCAACAACAUCCAAAACCACAUGCCAAAUCCCAAGUUCCUCUUGCUUUGCUUGCUUUAGGGAGCUUAAACAUCACUGAUUUAGUGGGUGUCACAGCUGAAAAGUACACUAUUAGUUUCCCCUUCUUUUACUGAAGAUAACACACCUGACACAAGGGUUUUGGUAACUGCUGCCUUGAUUGUUGUUGUAGAUUUGAAAUUUCUCCUCCUAUUCAGCCAUUUCCUCAGUAUGUUUUAACUUACCAUGUCUCAGUUUGCUCAUCUACAAGAGAGAACAUGGCAGUGUUCCUAGUGGGUUCUGAGGAAGGAGCACAAGGAUCCAAGAGAAGUGCUUGUGAUGGGCUGAACACUGUCACAGCAAUGAAAGAUGAUCUUUUAUUAAUUCCCCAUGCAGUGUUUAUUGAACAGCUUCUGUGCUGGAUCCUAAAGUAGGUGUGAGAUGGCAUUAGACAGUUGUGCGCUGCCAGGUGGGUGCUGGGAAUUGAACUCAGGACCUUUAGAAGAGUAGUGAGUGUUCCUUACCUUUGAGCCAUCUCUCCAGCGUCCCUUCCUCCAUUUUUGUUGUACACACUAUGUAUUAAGCUCCUGUUUUAAAUAAUAUUUUUUCAUAAGAAAACUCCCUUGGAUUUGCAUACUCUACCUACCCCAAUGGUAAGGGGGUAGUUGAAGGAAAAAUGAAUAGAUUGAAGGUAGAAAUAGAUACAAAUGCUAAUGAAGUUCAGACAUUUGGCCUCUAUGCAAGAUUUCUUUUUCCAGAACAUUAAUUUUACUUAUUAAGCCCAUUGAAAUUUGCUUAUAAGAUCAUUUUUUUAACAUGGUUACUACUUUGGGUCUUUUAUUUUCUAAGAUGCUAAAGAUAUAGUGUUCAUCGUUUAGACAUUUUGUGCGAGAAUGGGCACAUUGGAUGUUUUGAUCACAUUAUAUUGCUUAUCUUACAAAAAUUGAAUAAUGCCGGAGUGGAACAGCCAGAGAUGCUCAUUGCUUUCCUUCACAGUUCCCAUUUCUACUCUCUCCUGACUCAGGUUCACCCAAUCAGUGUGCUGCCUACUGAGUAAGGUGCAUGCUCUGGAUGGUAGGACAUCAAGCAUCCUGGUAUCUGUUGCUUAGCAGCAUGCUGAGGCCUCUGAGUGUUCUGAGAACAUCUAAUGACAAAUUGGGAAGGCAGCUCUGGCUAUGUCAGAUAUUUCAAAUCUAAUUAUAGUAACACAAACCUUUUAAUAUGUAUGUUUGCACACAUAGGUAUAUGUGUAUGUAGUAUAUAAUGUAUGCACAUACAUUAUAAAGCCUUUGCUCUGACUUUUUCUUUCAUUAGUUGGUGAUAUUUUAUAUUAUAUACAAUUAUGUGUUUGCCUUUCCUCUUGUAUAGAAAAUAGGCUCAAUAAGUAUAGAUAAUUUGGCAGUUUUCUUUUAUUGAUAUUUCCUCAAUUUAGCUAGAACAAUGAUUGGCUCGUGGAAUAUACUUGUUAAGUGCUUCUAAAAACAAACAAACAAAAAAGGAUGAAAUGAAAAAUGAAUGAAUGAUCCUUAAAGGACAGAAUCACAAAGAAUCACAGUAGCUAGGGACAGGAUAAGAAUCUUCCAACUCCUGAAUUGUUUAAAACAUUAUUGUAACUUUUUAUACAAAGAGCUCCUAAAAUUAAAGAUAACAAAUGUUAUUAAUGUGCCACAAUAGUAUUUAGAGUCUUAAGGGCUGUUAAGGUGGCUCAGUGGGUAAAGGCUACCAAGCCUGAUCAUCUGGUUUUGAUCCAUGGAAAACAAAUGGUAGAAGGAACCAAAACUCUUAAAAGUUGUCCUCUGACGUCCACAGGCAUGUACAACACACACACACACACACACACACACACACACACACACAAUCUCUCUCUCUCUAAAUAAAAACAAAUAAAGAAUGAAAAAUUAAACUACAGAAAAGGAGGCAUGUACAACACACACAUGCAUGCACACAUAUACAAAAUAAAUAAAUUAAUGGUGUAAUAACAAAAUUAAACAUUCUAGAAAAGGAACUUUCAGGAGGUGUCUAGUGGUGCAGGCUUUCAGUCCAGCUGCUUGUAGGCCCAGGGAGGAGAAUGAGGCAGGAGGUUUUGUUAUAGAGUGAAUUCAAAGUCAGCUUGGGCAACUUGGAAGGAUGCUGUCUGGAAAUCAAAACACAAUUGGCAUAUUAGAUAAUUUGCCUAGCAUCUACAUGGCUCUGGGUUCAAUCUUCAGUACUUGACAAAGACAAGAAAAAAGAUAAAAGAAAGG
rnacentral:lncRNA from 1 species